rnacentral:rRNA from 1 species
UACGUAGGGGGCAAGCGUUGUCCGGAUUUAUUGGGCGUAAAGAGCGUGUAGGCGGCCAGGUAGGUCCGUUGUGAAAACUCGAGGCUCAACCUCGAGACGCCGAUGGAAACCAUCUGGCUAGAGUCCGGAAGAGGAGAGUGGAAUUCCCGGUGUAGCGGUGAAAUGCGCAGAUAUCGGGAGGAACACCGGUGGCGAAGGCGGGUCUCUGGGCCGGAUACUGGACGCUGAGGAGCGAAAGCGUGGGGAGCGAACAGGAUUAGAUACCCCGUG